CGUGCCUAAUACAUGCAAGUCGAACGGUCUUUCUAUGGAAGCUUGCUUCCACUGAGAAGAUAAGUGGCGAACGGGUGAGUAACACGUGGGUAACCUGCCCAUAAGAGGGGGAUAACAUCCGGAAACGGGUGCUAAUACCGCAUAGUUUUCUUGAUCGCAUGAUCGGGAAAGGAAAGACGGCCUUUGUGCUGUCGCUUAUGGAUGGACCCGCGGCGUAUUAGUUAGUUGGUGAGGUAACGGCUCACCAAGACGAUGAUACGUAGCCGACCUGAGAGGGUGAUCGGCCACAUUGGGACUGAGACACGGCCCAAACUCCUACGGGAGGCAGCAGUAGGGAAUCUUCCGCAAUGGACGAAAGUCUGACGGAGCAACGCCGCGUGAGUGAAAGAAGGUUUUCGGAUCGUAAAACUCUGUUGUCAGAGAAGAACAAGUUGGAGAGUAACUGCUCCAGCCUUGACGGUAUCUGACCAGAAAGCCACGGCUAACUACGUGCCAGCCGCCGC
rnacentral:rRNA from 1 species